AUUGAACGCUGGCGGCAGGCUUAACACAUGCAAGUCGAACGAGUGGCGGACGGGUGAGUAAUGCUUGGGAAUCUAGCUUAUGGAGGGGGAUAACUACGGGAAACUGUAGCUAAUACCGCGUACCAUAGGAUGAGCCCAAGUGGGAUUAGGUAGGUGGUGAGGUAAAGGCUCACCAAGCCGACGAUCUCUAGCUGGUCUGAGAGGCUGACCAGCCACCUGGGGACUGAGACAGGGCCCAGACGCCUACGGGAGGCAGCAGUGGGGAAUAUUGCACAAUGGGCGCAAGCCUGAUGCCGCCAUGCCGCGUGUGUGAAGAAGGCCUUCGGGUUGUAAAGCACGUUCAGCGAGGAGGCGUUACUCGCAGAAGAAGCACCGGCUAACUCCGUGCCAGCAGCCGCGGUAAUUC
rnacentral:rRNA from 1 species